rnacentral:rRNA from 1 species
GACGAACGCUGGCGGCGUGCUUAACACAUGCAAGUCGUACGGUAAGGCCCUUUCGGGGGUACACGAGUGGCGAACGGGUGAGUAACACGUGAGUAACCUGCCCACAACUUUGGGAUAACGCUAGGAAACUGGUGCUAAUACUGGAUAUGUGCUCCUGCUGCAUGGUGGGGGUUGGAAAGCUCCGGCGGUUGUGGAUGGACUCGCGGCCUUUCAGCUUGUUGGUGGGGUAGUGGCCUACCAAGGCGGCGACGGGUAGCCGGCCUGAGAGGGUGACCGGCCACAGUGGGACUGGGAUACGGCCCAGACUCCUACGGGAGGCAGCAGUGGGGAAGAUUGCACAAUGGGCGCAAGCCUGAUGCAGCAACGCCGCGUGCGGGAUGACGGCCUUCGGGUUGUAAACCGCUUUCAGCAGGGACGAAGCUUUUUGUGACGGUACCUGCAGAAGAAGCACCGGCUAACUACGUG